AGGUGCUUUGAAGAUAGAUUGGUAGAAAUAAAUUAAGGAUCAGAAAAAUUCUGCAUCUUCACUAAUAUUUUUCUUCUGCUGACAACAGAGACCCCAUGAGAAGUCUUUUAUUUUCUCUUCCCGAAACAGAAGAUUUGUGUCCUGCGAUGCAGUUCCAUGCAGGCUAGAACUACAAGAGCACUGCUGGAAAAUUGCAGGAACAAUGAUUUAUUCCUGGGCUGAGAGCUGAACAAGGGAAAACACAUAAACACUGCACUAUAGGCACAAAAGUAUCAUUUCAAAACCAGAAGAAAUCAGCUCAGAUCCUGGAAUGCAGUAACCGCCAAAAGCUUUUUCAGGCAGGAGAAGGAAGAUGUUGAGAAAACCACGUGAGACCUCUUAGCCUUAGCACUGCCAGAGAAAAACUGUAAGGUUGAAAAAUCACGAGAUCGUCUUAAAGACUGUAACAUUCGAGUGAAAUUCUCAACUCCACCUUCUUUGGCUUCCAAUUCCGUUUCUAGAGGAUUUAUUUGCUCUGUGUUUUCUAUCUUUGAAAACACAAAGGCUAGCGAAGUCUUAGAUGCCAACACUGAGAUUUUUAUGCAGUCUCCUGAUUCCAGCAGCUAGAGCUCUAAGAAAAAUCUUGCAAGUCUGUCAGCUGCUGUAUAAGCAGAAAGCUUUAUGUAUUGUUCCUAUAGAUACACAUUUGCUCUUAUUUACCUCUCACACAGUGCUUAUUCGCAGUUUUCAGGUGAAUCAUAUAGCAGGCAUAUGGAAAAACAUACACGUUUCCCAGACUUCCCUGCUUUUUGAUAAUCCCAGCGAAAAUUGAAACAGCCACUUGUGCCAGAUUUCAAAAGGCAAAUUCAUUUUCUAAAGCAUUUGAGCUCUUAGCUCCCCAUUGAUCUUUGUGCAAGUUAGGAGCCAAGUGCAUUUGCAAAUGCCUACCUGCAUCUUUACAGAUUUAGGCUAUUGCAAAACUGCAUCAAAGGGACCUUCAGGCAAGGCUGCAGUUCUUUGGGAUUGGAGAGAAACUACUGCGCUGGAAAGAAAAAAGGAUAGGGAAAUACUUUCUGUUGGAUAUUUUUUCAUUAUGUGUGAUUAGAAGUACUGACAGUGUAAUUUGUAUAGGACUGUUCAAAACAGCGUGGUAUUUAUAGACUCGUUUGUUUUUAUCGAGUUAGGCUAUCGUAUAUUCAUAGGGCAAUGCUACCUAUUCUUUGGGAGAACUGGUGUGCUAUCUUGGUAUACAUACUCUUGCUUGAUGCGUAAAACAAGAUUUUAAGAUGUUAUGAAAUAUAUAUAUGUUUUGUUUUACAAGCUCAAAAGCAGAACAAGAGUGAUUUAAAGGAAAGCAACGUUUAAAUAUAGAAAUCGAUUUGAUAAGGGGAGCCUUGGAAAAUGUGAAGUUCUUUGUAUUUCUCCAGCUCGUGAUUCCAAAGCCCCCCAGCCUUUUGCUUAUGCAAAACAUCUGCCUUCAGCUGUUCCAUUUUUCAGGAAAAAUAGCUUGUAGGAGAGGCGCCAGUUGUCUUUUAUGUUUCUAUUACUUUAAUUUUUACUGUUACCCAUAUGGCUUUUUUGGAAAAUGGUCUUCCCCUUAAUGUGUGAUAGUCAGGGUCUCUGGCAUCUAAUCGUACACAUUUCUGCAGUGCUACAUUGCUUCUAGUAAUUUGCUUUUUCAUUGGGGAAAAAAAAAAGAUCCAUCUUUAUCCAUUCCUCUAGACCACACAAAUGUAGAACACAAACAAAUGAGGAAAAAAAUGGAAAAGAAUAACCCAUCUCAGAAAAAAGUACCACCUAAACAAAAUGAACGUACUUUUGCGGUCAUUAUUUAAACCAGCUGCUCCUGAAGGUUGUUACUGCUAUCAGUGAAUCUAUUUCAUGGAUUGAAAGUAGCGUGGACUUCUGUGAUGUUCUAGCUGAAAACGGCUUUUGCAAAAACCUCUCGUUCUUGCUGGCUUGGUUUUGAGCCAGCCACUGCUACCAUCUGGAGACCUGAGACAUGAGAUGAAAAUUAGCAACCUGCCUGGAAAACUUAGAGCGAAAGCCUUCCCCACGUCCAGCAGGCGCGCGGUCAGCACCCAGUCCCACACCAACUGAAGCCUGCGUGCUUACAACAGUUGGGAUUUGCUCUGGGGGUCAAAGCCUCUUACCCGUGAGUUGGAGCCUACUCUUUUCCACAAAGAGCCUGAGGGAAUUGUGCUAGGCCAGGGCACGGAACAGAAAUGCAACUGUAUCAGCGAACUGAUUGACAAAACGACACGGGUAAAAAUACUGUAGGUUAGAUGAGCAUGUAAGUGGUUGGUAAGGCAUUAACAGUACUUUCAAGACAAAAGGAACUGUGUGUCUGUAUGUAUAUGAAGCUGAAUGUAAACCUGAGCGUUACCUCCUUCACAACACAGUUUUCUUACCUAAAUACCCCAUUUUUUUUUCCAGCUUUCCAUGUUUUCUCAAAUUAGCUUCAUGAAAUUUUGGGGAAUGAAAGAGCACAAUGAUUGCAGAGCUAUUCUGUGAGAAAAUUCCCACAGUCUAGCUAGCCACAUGAAAGAAAAAGCUCUGCUCGUUCUGUUAUGAGCUCUUAUGGUAUAGACAAUGAAUCCAGCCCUCUCAUGUUUUCAGACCUCUCCUCAUUAAUUGUCAGUGAGAAAUUAUGAAGGCUGCAGACAGAUAAUCUUACAAUAGGUACCACAGAGCAUUUUUCACCAUGUGUUUUCAGUUCAGACUAAACCACUACUUCAGGUUCUGUGGCAUAACAAAUUGAUGCAGGUUAGGUUGCUUUAAAAAAAAAAAAUAAAAUAAAAUUUUCAGGGCUCAAGGCAGCUUGUGUUCAUUCUUAGUCUGUUUUGUAAGUGAUGGAAAUUUGACAACUUCAGUUUAUGAGCUAGAGAAAAAUAUGGGGUGCAUUUUUUUACCUACUUGCUAGGGAAAAUCCUGCAAGGUGCUGAGCUGUUCAUACUAAAUACCAGUUACUUUCAUUGAAUUAGGUGAGAGCUGAAGAUGCUCAAAGAAUUAGGUUCCUCUUCUGUCUCAGUGACUUCUUGUUGACGGGCUACCAGCCCUUAUAAAGGCGGCUGGUUGUGUCCGUUUUUCGGCAUGCACGCUGGCUGACAGUUUAAUACUGCUAAAAUGAAAAGCUAGUUAGUUUUCCCCCAAAUCCCAUGCAGCUCUUCCAAGUUUUUUCUCAUGUGCAUAUGUCAGCACACUCACACUUGAACGCAGCACUCAGCAGUAAUCAGAGAUAACACACUGUACUGAAAUUCUCUCUGCUUUAUAUCAUUCAAAUGUGAAUAGGAUAAUUGGGAGCAUACUUUAUAGCUUAGUCAGACCCUCAUAGAACAAAUGCAGCCACUCUUUCUUUCUUUUUUUUUUUUAACUUCAGAACUGCCCACAGAAGUAAAGUUUUUUUUUCCUUUUUUUCUUGUGAUGAGUAUUUCUUGCUAUUAAUUAGGUUUUCUUCUGUGGGCAUCUGAGCUAGCGGCUGAGGGCAAUGCAGCAAUGAGCUAGCAUGAACAAAUCAGCCUGACAGCAGCUUGGGUUUUUCACUCUGCCAAAUGGAGCCAUUGUUGAGAAAAGCGCUAAGAAAGACACCUAGAUUUGUUGCCUAUAGAAAGAGUGCUAUUCUAUUCUCUUUA